UCUGGGCAGAGUGGCGCCAGCCUGUGGUCUCAGCUACCCAGGAUGCUGAGGCAGGAGGAUUGCUUGAGCCCAGGAGGCCAGGACUGCAGUGAGCUAUUAUCACACCACUGCUCUCCAGCCUGGGCAACAAAGCAAGACCCUGUCUCUU
rnacentral:SRP_RNA from 1 species